rnacentral:rRNA from 1 species
GAUGAACGCUGGCGGCGUGCCUAAUACAUGCAAGUCGAGCGAACGGACGAGAAGCUUGCUUUUCUGAUGUUAGCGGCGGACGGGUGAGUAACACGUGGAUAACCUACCUAUAAGACUGGGAUAACUUCGGGAAACCGGAGCUAAUACCGGAUAAUAUUUUGAACCGCAUGGUUCAAAAGUGAAAGACGGUCUUGCUGUCACUUAUAGAUGGAUCCGCGCUGCAUUAGCUAGUUGGUAAGGUAACGGCUUACCAAGGCAACGAUGCAUAGCCGACCUGAGAGGGUGAUCGGCCACACUGGAACUGAGACACGGUCCAGACUCCUACGGGAGGCAGCAGUAGGGAAUCUUCCGCAAGGGGCGAAAGCCUGACGGAGCAACGCCGCGUGAGUGAUGAAGGUCUUCGGAUCGUAAAACUCUGUUAUUAGGGAAGAACAUAUGUGUAAGUAACUGGGCAAAUCUUGACGGUACCUAAUCAGAAAGCCACGGCUAACUACG